CAGCUCCAAUAGCGUAUAUUAAAGUUGUUGCAGUUAAAAAGCUCGUAGUUGGAUUUUGGGACGUGCAUUCACAUUCAUAAAGGUGUAAAAGCCUGUGGAAGCGUCUUACUGCUCUAUUGGCGCUAGGUCACCUUCACGGGUGGUCUGGUGUCUCAAGGUAGUUUGGCGUUGCGGGCUCGGUCCAUCAGUGUGCCUCGCAAGGGGCCUCCAUUGGUGUGUUAACCGGCCCGCCCGUCCCCUCCUUCUGGAUUCCCGUUCCUGCUAUUGAUUUAGUGGGAACGUCACAGGGGGCUAGUCGUGUAAAAAGCGGCUGGUCUCUGGGGCCCAGAUCGUUUACCGUGAAAAAAUUAGAGUGUUCAAAGCGGGCAGAUAUUUUUCCUGCCACCGAAUACAUUAGCAUGGGAUAAUGGAAUAGGACCCUGACCUCCUAUUUUCAGUUGGUUUUGUUUACAGCGAGGUUAUAUCAGGGUAAUGAUUAAUAGGGAUAGUUGGGGGCAUUAAUAUUUAAUUGUCAGAGGUGAAAUUCUUGGAUUUAUGAAAGAUUAACUUCUGCGAAAGCGUUUGCCAAGGAUGUUUUCAUUAAUCAAGAACGAAAGUUAGGGGAUCGAAGACGAUCAGAUACCGUCGUAGUCUUAACCAUAAACGAUGCCGACCAGCGAUUAGGAGACGUUGAAUACAAAACACCGCUGUUAAUCCUUUCGGGGGUUAAUAGUUGGUGAA
rnacentral:rRNA from 1 species